GGAAUCUUGCACAAUGGGGGCAGCCCUGAUGCAGCGACGCCGCGUGAGUGAUGAAGCCCCUCGGGGUGUAAAGCUCUUUCGACGGGAACGAUUAUGACGGUACCCGAAGAAGAAGCUGCGGCUAACUACGUGCCAGCAGCCGCGGUAAUACGUAGGCAGCAAGCGUUGUUCGGAAUUACUGGGCGUAAAGAGUGUGUAGGCGGUGCUCUAAGUCUGUCGUGAAAUCUCCCGGCUUAACUGGGAGGGUGCGGCGGAAACUGGAGUGCUCGAGGAUGGGAGAGGUAAGCGGAAUUCCUGGUGUAGCGGUGAAAUGCGUAGAUAUCAGGAGGAACACCUGUGGUGUAGACAGCUUACUGGACCAUAUCUGACGCUGAGACACGAAAGCGUGGGUAGCAAAC
rnacentral:rRNA from 1 species